GGAGCUUGCUCCACCGGGAAAAGAGGAGUGGCGAACGGGUGAGUAACACGUGGGUAACCUGCCCAUCAGAAGGGGAUAACACUUGGAAACAGGUGCUAAUACCGUAUAACAAUCGAAACCGCAUGGUUUCGUUUUGAAAGGCGCUUUACGGUGCCGCUGAUGGAUGGACCCGCGGUGCAUUAGCUAGUUGGUGAGGUAACGGCUCACCAAGGCCACGAUGCAUAGCCGACCUGAGAGGGUGAUCGGCCACAUUGGGACUGAGACACGGCCCAAACUCCUACGGGAGGCAGCAGUAGGGAAUCUUCGGCAAUGGACGAAAGUCUGACCGAGCAACGCCGCGUGAGUGAAGAAGGUUUUCGGAUCGUAAAACUCUGUUGUUAGAGAAGAACAAGGGUGAGAGUAACUGUUCACCCCUUGACGGUAUCUAACCAGAAAGCCACGGCUAACUACGUGCCAGCAGCCGCGGUAAUACGUAGGUGGCAAGCGUUGUCCGGAUUUAUUGGGCGUAAAGCGAGCGCAGGCGGUUUCUUAAGUCUGAUGUGAAAGCCCCCGGCUCAACCGGGGAGGGUCAUUGGAAACUGGGAGACUUGAGUGCAGAAGAGGAGAGUGGAAUUCCAUGUGUAGCGGUGAAAUGCGUAGAUAUAUGGAGGAACACCAGUGGCGAAGGCGGCUCUCUGGUCUGUAACUGACGCUGAGGCUCGAAAGCGUGGGGAGCAAACAGGAUUAGAUACCCUGGUAGUCCACGCCGUAAACGAUGAGUGCUAAGUGUUGGAGGGUUUCCGCCCUUCAGUGCUGCAGCUAACGCAUUAAGCACUCCGCCUGGGGAGUACGACCGCAAGGUUGAAACUCAAAGGAAUUGACGGGGGCCCGCACAAGCGGUGGAGCAUGUGGUUUAAUUCGAAGCAACGCGAAGAACCUUACCAGGUCUUGACAUCCUUUGACCACUCUAGAGAUAGAGCUUCCCCUUCGGGGGCAAAGUGACAGGUGGUGCAUGGUUGUCGUCAGCUCGUGUCGUGAGAUGUUGGGUUAAGUCCCGCAACGAGCGCAACCCUUAUUGUUAGUUGCCAUCAUUUAGUUGGGCACUCUAGCAAGACUGCCGGUGACAAACCGGAGGAAGGUGGGGAUGACGUCAAAUCAUCAUGCCCCUUAUGACCUGGGCUACACACGUGCUACAAUGGGAAGUACAACGAGUCGCGAAGUCGCGAGGCUAAGCUAAUCUCUUAAAGCUUCUCUCAGUUCGGAUUGUAGGCUGCAACUCGCCUACAUGAAGCCGGAAUCGCUAGUAAUCGCGGAUCAGCACGCCGCGGUGAAUACGUUCCCGGGCCUUGUACACACCGCCCGUCACACCACGAGAGUUUGUAACACCCGAAGUCGGUGAGGUAACCUUUUGGAGCCAGCCUACG
rnacentral:rRNA from 1 species